AAAAUUAUCAAAUUUGAAAGCCAAUUUUUGGCAAAACUGCAGGUGUUAUCGAUUACAACAUUUUGUUAUUCGACCUUAUAAGCUUUUAGACGAAAUUUGCACCCGUCAAAUUGUAGUCUCUGCAUGGGGGAAACGAAAAGUCAAAAUCAGGUGAGUGGCUGAUGGCCUAAUAUUUAUCUACUGUUCGAAACAAAAUAAUUAUAUAUUCUUCAUGCUUGAUGAUUAAUGACAAUUUCUUUUAGGGAUUUAUUUAUUCUUACAAACGAGAACUGAUUCAUGACGAAGAUUGCAUCGACAUAUCAAAACCUUAUGCUGGGGCAGCAGUAUUCAUUGAAAGAUGUCAUGGUCGACUUGCGAAUCAACAGCUGUAUUAUACUAAGG